CCACCUGUAUGUUCUUCCAGAAGCAUCCAUAACGGCCUAUAAAAUCGCCACUCACAGCUAAAUCCCGAAUUCUGAGUUCACGUAAAACAAUUUGGGUCUAAAUUCUGCAGGGCGAAUAUGGUAGAAGAAGGAACGGUGGAGGAAUUGAGGUUGGAGUUGGGAGAGAAGGCGAAGAUGAUCGAGAAAUUGAAGUGUGAUGGGGUUGAGAAGGCGAAGAUGAUCGAGAAAUUGAAGUGUGAUGGGGUUGAGAUGGCGAAGAUGAUCGAGAAAUUGAAGUGUGAUGGGGUUGAGAUGGAGCAUAAGUUGAGCUGGUCGAUGGUGGAGAUGGAGAGGUUGAAGAUUAGUCUUGAAGCGGCCGAGUCAAAAGUGACAGAGUUAUGUGAUGCUCAGGAGAAAGCAAGGGGCAUUUUAAUAAAGGGACUUGGCGGUGAGAUUCCGGAAAAGCUUGAAGAAGGGGUUUGAUCAAGUAAGUAGGGUGUUAUUCAUCAUCAGUUCCAAUUUGGUCUUCCUAAUCUGCUGCACAAACUCAGAAGAUUUUGUAGGGAUCAGCCAGCUAGAGAUCGAGUUGGAAACACGAUAAAAGCACAGACAGAGACUGUUCAUGAUCAAUACUAAUUAAGGGUGCGUUUGGUUCACACAUGGGAAUCGGAA